AUCGAUGAAGAACGCAGCGAAACGCGAUAGGUAAUGUGAAUUGCAGAAUUCAGUGAAUCAUCGAAUCUUUGAACGCAUCUUGCGCUCGUUGGUAUUCCGACGAGCAUGCCUGUUUGAGUGUCAUGAAAUAUAUCAACCAUGACUUGGGUUUAGGCCCUCGUCUUGGCUUGGAUUUGGGUGCUUGCGGUCUUGUGCUGCUCACCUUAAAAGAAUUAGCUGGACAUGUCUAUUGACUUGGUUCUACUUGGCGUAAUAAGUAUUUCGCUGAGGACAUCCCUUUAUUGGGUUGGCCAAGACUCUAGACGAACGUCUGCUUUCUAACCUCAUAGUUCCCUCGGGGACAUGACUUUUAUGAUCUGGCCUCAAAUCAGGUAGGACUACCCGCUGAACUUAAGCAUAUCAAUAAGCGGAGGAAAAGAAACUAACAAGGAUUCCCCUAGUAACGGCGAGUGAAGCGGGAAGAGCUCAAAUUUGAAAUCUAAUGUCCUCAGGGCAUUCGAGUUGUAAUCUAUAGGAACGUUUUCCGUGUCGGCUCAUGUACAAGUCCCUUGGAACAGGGCGUCAUAGAGGGUGAGAAUCCCGUACUUGACAUGAAUUACCGGUGCUCUGUGAUACGUCUCCAACGAGUCGAGUUGUUUGGGAAUGCAGCUCAAAAUGGGUGGUAAAUUCCAUCUAAAGCUAAAUAUUGGCUCGAGACCGAUAGCGAACAAGUACCGUGAGGGAAAGAUGAAAAGCACUUUGGAAAGAGAGUUAAAAAGUAUGUGAAAUUGUUGAAAGGGAAACGAUUGAAGUCAGUCAUGUCCUUCAGAUUCAGCCGGUUCUGCCGGUGUACUUCUGUUGGAUGGGGUCAACAUCAGUUUUGGAUGCCGGAUAAGGGCAGGAGGAAGGUAGUACCCUCGGGUAAACUUAUAGCCUUCUGUCGCAUACGGUGACUGGGACUGAGGAACGCAGCUUGCCUUUAUGGCCGGGGUUUACCCACGUACAAGCUUAGGAUGUUGACAUAAUGGCUUUAAACGACCCGUCUUGAAACACGG
rnacentral:rRNA from 1 species